rnacentral:rRNA from 1 species
UACAGAGGUCCCGAGCGUUGUUCGGAUUCACUGGGCGUAAAGGGUGCGUAGGUGGCCUGAAAAGUUUGAUGUGAAAGCUCAGGGCUUAACCCUGAAAUGGCAUUGAAUACUGUUGGGCUGGAGGUUUGGAGGGGGGACUGGAAUUCUUGGUGUAGCAGUGAAAUGCGUAGAUAUCAAGAGGAACACCAGUGGCGAAGGCGAGUCCCUGGACAACACCUGACACUGAGGCACGAAAGCUAGGGGGAGCAAACAGG